GAUGAAGAACGUAGCGAAAUGCGAUAAGUAAUGCGAAUUGCAGAAUUUCCGUGAGUCAUCGAAUCUUUGAACGCACAUUGCGCCCUUUGGUAUUCCUUAGGGCAUGCCUGUUCGAGCGUCAUUUAAACCUUCAAGCCCUGCUUGGUGUUGGGUGCCUGUCCCGCCUCCGCGCGUGGACUCACCUCAAAUCCAUUGGCGGCCCCCGCACGGCCACGAGCGCAGCAGAAACGCAAACUCGUGCCCCGACCGGGCGGCUCCCAGAAGCUACACUCACCAUUUUGACCUCGGAUCAGGUAGGGAUACCCGCUGAACUUAAGCAUAUCAAUAAGCGGAGGA
rnacentral:misc_RNA from 1 species